CGACACCACGGUGCAGUCGUCCGACUGCCUCAGCUGCCAGUCCGUCGCGGCCAGGAACCUCACCAUCGGCCGCCGCCAUUACCGGAAGCAUCUCCUCUGUGCAGUUAUACAGAUCCCGGUUUAUUCGCGAGAUCUUGAAGUGUAUACUGGAAAAACCUCGCUAUGUCACCGUGGACCGUGUUCAAAGGAGAAGAAGCCGAUCCAGAUUCGUAUCUGCAAAGUGAUGAUCCCGCCGGAGAUUCUGAGUUUGGAAACGAGAGCUACGCCGACCACGACGCCUUCCUGGACCUGCAUCGAGAGAUCCUUGAUCCGUGCUUCGCUGGGACGGAUCUCAAAACGCAUCAAAGGUGCCGUCAUGGUGAGGCCCCUCAGAGGAAGGUAGCAUUCAACAUGGCUGCUACAGGGAGAAGAUUUCUUGGAUGCCUUCGGCAGGUUAGCAAAAAUUUGUCUUCACCCCGUAAGUAGAUGGAUGAUUAGUUAACGGUAAUGACGUGCAGGUGUUCAUCAUGCCUAGAUCAUCUGGUGAAAUCAUGGUGCUGUUUUGAAAUAGCUAACUUAAACUUGAGUUUCUCUUCAUGGAGGUUGGACGCUUUUAUAUUAACUGAUCAGACUAUGCCACAAAAAAGGCUGUUAACAGAAUAUGGAGAAUUUUUGUUCGGUGUCAACAUGGACCAGUGAACAAAUGGCAUCUGUAUCGCAAUGUCCCUGUGGAGCCAAUCUCGAAUGUGGCAAGUGGUGAAGAUUCUUGGAUUCUGAGCUUGUUUCCGAGGUUUCUUCCUAUUCCCGUCCCAACAUCUUCGUUGCUAUAUUUGUCUUCUCGUUGUUUCUGUUAUAUAAUGGAGUUUAUGGUUUGAAUCUAUCAUUGGAUUGUUUUAUUUCCCCACCGGUGCUACGAAUCCGUCCUCUAGUGUUCAGAAAUGCAGUU